rnacentral:rRNA from 1 species
UACGUAGGGGGCAAGCGUUGUCCGGAUUUACUGGGCGUAAAGAGCGUGUAGGCGGCCAAGCAGGUCCGUUGUGAAAACUGGAGGCUUAACCUCCAGACGUCGACGGAAACCGCGCGGGCUAGAGUCCGGAAGAGGAGAGUGGAAUUCCUGGUGUAGCGGUGAAAUGACGCAGAUAUCAGGAAGAACACCAAUGGCGAAGGCAGCUCUCUGGGACGGUACUGACGCUGAGACGCGAAAGCGUGGGGAGCGAACAGG